rnacentral:rRNA from 1 species
UACGUAGGGUGCAAGCGUUGUCCGGAAUUAUUGGGCGUAAAGAGCUCGUAGGCGGUUUGUCGCGUCUGCUGUGAAAACUCGGGGCUUAACCCCGGGCCUGCAGUGGGUACGGGCAGACUAGAGAGCGGUAGGGGAGACUGGAAUUCCUGGUGUAGCGGUGAAAUGCGCAGAUAUCAGGAGGAACACCGGUGGCGAAGGCGGGUCUCUGGGCCGUAACUGACGCUGAGGAGCGAAAGCGUGGGGAGCAAACAGG